GUGAGAUCAAGGCCAGCCUGAACUACGUAGUGAAACUAUAACACUUUUUUCCUGAAAGGUGGCUUGACAACAUGUGGGAAACACGUGAACUGACCAAAAAAAUUGCCAGAGGUGAAAAUGAAUUUAGCGAAGUUGUUUCCCUAAAUGCAACUCAAAAUGAGCGGGGAAUGGGUGCCGCCCUGACCGCAUCUAGGAGACCUUCCAAGCGGCGGGACCCGGGGAGGGUGCGGGGCGCGGAGCCGCUGCGGCGUCCGUCCGGAUUGGCGGGCUGCGCGCUUAGCGAGGUGAAUCUCGCCGCGCGGGGCCAUCUCGGGCGAACCUGACUUGCAGAGCGGUGUGGGGCGCCGGCGACCCGGCCUGGCCGCUCCGGGCAGAGGACGCGGCCCUCAACCGAGGCCGGCGGGUGGCCCCGCAGACCCGGCCUCGCCGCUCGUCCCCGCCGCCCGGCCCGAGCGCCAGGCUGCGCGGGUGCCUCGGGCCUGCGCCCGUGCGAGAGGCGGAGACGGCCGGAGCCGAAGGUUUGUUCAGCGGCUGGCGCAGUCCUGGCCGAACCGGGCGCCCGGCGGCGAGGUGGAAGUGGCUAAAAAGUAUCUUGGCUACCACAUGAAAAAAUAUAGCUCGCAGGCAUCCAAUCUCAACUUGCUAUUAACCUUUAGCCUGAUAAACAGCAAGUGGUACCAGGAGGGCAGGCCGAGAUGAAUGAACUUGAAACAUCUGUGAGCUCUGCUAGGGCACGUCCCGUCUCACCCUCGAACCGAAGACUCUUGCUGUGAUUUAUAUGACAAUUUCCCUGGAAAUUGAACCUGUGGAGACCAGAUGGCAGGAAGGGGGCCUGACUGGCAACCUCGGGAGCACGGAGGGGAGAGGCCACGCGAGCGUGCAGACUCGCUGCAGGGAGACGUAGAACACCUGAGGGUGAGCUGUUUGCCCGGAGAAGUGGCGUGGAGGGAGGAGCCAGGGCUGUUGUCGGAAGUGUCUCAUCUGGAAGUGAAAGAAGGACAAAUAAAGGCUGCCAUCUGUCCCUGGGAAAUUCCACGCACUGCCCUGUGGUUGAGCUGGCCACCGUGGGAAGCCUCAACAUCUGAACACAGGCAGUUACUGCUUAUACCUAAUACCACCGAUCCUUUAAGGCCCACAGAAGGACCUGACAACAUGAAGUACAGAUGGGGCCCUGAGUUGCUGGGGGCUCUGCAGCGAAAAGAAAAGCUGCUAAAUCUACAGCCAACUGAGAGCCCGCCAGGAAUGGGCAGGAGGCUAAGGAAUGAGGCGAG